rnacentral:rRNA from 1 species
CACCAGCUCCUCGAGUGGUAGGGAUGGUUAUUUAGCCUAAAGCGUUCGUAGUUGGCUUAUUAAGUCCCUUGUGAAAUCCGACGAUUCAAUCGUCGGGCGCGCGAGGGAUACUACUAGGCUAGGGGACGGGAGAAGUCAACGGUAGUCUCAGGGUAGGGGUGAAAUCCUGUAAUCCUGAGAGGACCACCAGUGGCGAAGGCGGUUGACUAGAACGAGCCCGACAGUGAUGGACGAAAGCUGGGGGAGCGAACCGGAUUAGAUACCCGGGUAGUCCCAGCUGUAAACGAUGCGGGCUAGGUGUUGGGGUAGCCACGAGCCAUCUCAGUGCCGCAGGGAAGCCCUUAAGCCCGCCGCUUGGGAAGUACGGUCGCAAGGCUGAAACUUAAAGGAAUUGGCGGGGAGCACCACAAGGGUGAAGGCUGCGGUUU